rnacentral:tRNA from 1 species
GGAAUCAUGGCUCACAGGGUAGAGCACCUGCCUAACAAGUGCAAAUAGCUGGGUUCAAAUCCCAGUACUUUCC